rnacentral:lncRNA from 1 species
UUUGCGAAGAUCAGCAAGAAGUAUGGGCCGAUUGUCUUCCUCAAGGUCGGAAUGGUCCCGUUUGUGGUGGUGACCGACAAGGAAAUGGCAGCGCAGGUUCUUAAGGCCCACGACCUCGAGUUUGCAAGCCGACCGGACGAAGAGUUCUUUCGGAUCGUCAGCCACGACUGGAACGAUCUUAUCCUGGCGCCCAUCGGUGAGAAGUGGAAGACAAUGAGGAGGAUUUGUAGCACACACCUGUUUAACAACAGUACGCUAAAGGCUAGCGCAGGAUUCCGGGAGUCGGAGAUGAAGCAUGCAGUCAAGGCCAUUUUCCAGCAUUCCGGGACAACGAUCAAGCUGCAAGAGGUUUUGAGCAAUCUCGCGUCAAAUUCACUAUGCCUGGUUCUUUUUAGCAAGCGGGGGGUGGAAGUGGUGGAUCUCAUCCGGAACAUACUCGGUCUAAGCUUGAACUUGAACAUUGGAACCCUGCUUCCGGCACUCGACUGGCUGGAUCUUCAUGGAGUCUACAAGAAGCUCAACACGGAGCUCGUACCUCGCCUUAAGCUCGUGCUGGAAGAUCAAAUCGACAAGCAUCGACGCAGGAAAGAUGAAGCUGGGGAUACAUUCGUCCCUCAGGACUUCACCGACGUUCUUAUAUCUCUCGAGGACAAGGAUAAGCUGUCAAACAUCUCCAUCUUGGCACUGCUCUCGGUAAGCAUCUAGAUCGUGGUCGUGAUCACUGAAAAACUCUAGUUUUGCGUCAGGACAUGGUUAUUGCAGGGUUGGAAACUUCACUAGUGACGCUCGAGUGGACGAUGGCGGAGCUCAUAAACCAUCCCCAAGUCAUGUCCAAGGCUCAAGAGGAGAUCGACAGCGUUGUAGGGACAGCUCGCGCGGUGCAAGAGUCCGACCUUCCAAACCUUCCAUACAUCGAAGCCAUUGUCAAGGAAUCACUGCGUCUCCACCCGGCGGUGCCACUGGGCGCUCCUCACAUGAAUCCCAAGCCUGUCAAGCUGGGAGGCUACACCAUCCCUGGCGGCUGCAAGGUUCUCGUAAACAUAUGGGCCAUUGGACGCGAUCCCGCUCGCUGGUCCGACCCAGAAGCGUUCCAGCCGGAGCGCUUUCUCGGCUCCUCCAUCUCUCCCAACGGGCAGAACUUUGACUUCCUUCCAUUCUCAUCGGGGAGGAGAGUUUGUGUUGGCUAUCCACUCGCGAUGAGAUCCAUCCCUUUUUUCGUGGCCAGUUUGCUCCAGGCAUUCGAUUGGAGUCCUGCUAACCCGAGCGGGAUCGACAUGGAAGAAUGCACGAGAAGUACAACUAUGAAGCUGAAUGCUGACUUGCUUGUAAACGCGUCCAUCAGGGUCGAUCAAAAUAUAAUAUAAAGCUUUCUAUACCAUGUUGAUUAAAUUGUUUAGCGUUGGAGAUGUUUCAAAUACAAUAUAAAUACAAAUACUAGGUGUUUUAAAGUCCAAUGCUCGAUGUUAAUAGCAACAGCUAGUACAUUACGCAAUCCUGAACAGAGUAGAUGUAGAAGUAGUCAAUCUGUUAAAGCUCUAGGGGCCUCCUUCAAGCCUCGAUGGGCACCCGUGUUGAGUUUCUGGACAAAGUCGCAGCGAUGCGGUUGUUUACAUUGAAAGUCGUUGGUUUUCUCAUGCCGAUUUUCUUCCAGGCGAAUUACCGCAAUACCAGUGAGUUUAGAGCACUUGAAGUAUGAAGUCUUCACGAUUGUACCAGUCAAGGUCAGCAUUUUCACCAAGAUCUCCCGGAAAUUCUAGUUAAAACUCGUCUUUUGCUCGUACAUUGAGGACCAAUGUGUUUGCUCCAACUUUGUGGACCCUGCGAUUGCGUAAUCCAGGGACGUGAUCGCCCCUCAGGAGUUAAAUAUGUGAUUGAUGGAAGUGGCGACGUCGUGACUGAAAAUCACUGUCCGUGGCUGUGAUGUGUUUGGAGAUUACUCCUCCAAGCGGCUAAAAUCAGUGACAUUGGAAUCGUCUGGAAACCUAGACUUUUUUUCUGAUUCCAAGUCAUAUUGCUACAUAACAGUAUCUUUCUUUGUUUUUUAAAAAACCCUAGCCCUAAUUGACUGACGGAAACUGCUAUGACACGUCGGAUUUGCGUUAGCGUCCGAUCGCCAAGAACAGCACGAUCUAGCCGCCGGGAACAGCAUCGUAGGUCUUUCUAGGCAGUGAAGUCGUGUAGCAGCGCCAGGGGUCCCCGGGACUCCAUUCUAGCGCUGUUGCCAAUGGCCUUGUCAGUAUCUUUGCGAAAUGCGGCAGCGUGGCGGAUUCUCGCGCCACGACGUGGUGUCCUGGAAUUCGCUGGUCCUGGGGUACGCUGAGAAUGGCGAGCCGGAAGCAGCAAUGGACGUCUUCGAUCGCACGAAGAGAGUAUUUCACGGUUGACAAUCGGACCUAUGUUGCGGCCCUCAUGGCGUGCAUUGAUCUGGGGGCACAGGAAGAGAUCAAGCGGCAGCACGGGAAGAAAUCUCUGGAAAGAAUGGUGGUUCUAGAGAAGGGUCGAGAGAUCCAUGCUCAAGCUUCCAGCGCUGGCUAUGGAUCCAACAUCUACGUUGCAAACACGCUCAUCAACAUGUACUCGAAGCUUGGGUGCCUUGCGGAGGCUCGAGAGGUGUUCGACCGGAUUGGAAAGGAGGAGAAGAGCGUUGUGUCGUGGACCGCGAUGAUGAUGGGGUGUAACGAGAAUGGAGACGAGAAGGAAACGUUGGAGCUCUACAACGCCAGGGCUGUCCUCCCAACUCUCGGACUUUUGUCGCAGCGCUCAUGGCCUGUGCUGGAUUGGCCGAGAAAGCUGAUGGGAGUGACAAGGCCGAAUAUCUUGAGAAGGGACGAGCGAUUCAUUCACAAGCUGUGAAAGGUGGCUGCGGCUCGGACGUUUUCUUCGCGAGCACUUUGAUCCAUAUGUAUUGCAAGUGUGGGAGCCUGGAAGAUGCUAGAGCCGCAUUCCAGCGAAUGCAGCGCUUGGACGUGGUGUCCUGGAACGCUCUCAUCCUGGGACACGUUGAGAAUGGCGAGAGCCAGCGUGCACUCGAGAUCUUCGGCGGCAUGAAGAGGAUCGAGAGACAUCGCCGCUGCUCGCCGAACGCUCGGACUUUCGUUGCUGCGCUCAUGGCCUGCUCCAGGCUGGCUGCAAAAGAAGCUGGCAAGCAGGUUGACGGGAAGCUCGUGAAGACGGAGAGUUUGAAGAGAGGGAUGGAUGUACAUUCGCAAGCGGUGCAGUGUCGCUGCGAAACGGAGCUUUUCGUGGCCACCACCUUGAUCGACAUGUAUUCGAAGUGCGGGAGCAUGGUCGAAGCCCGAAAGUGCUUCGACAAGAUGCCCAGCCACAACGUCGUUACGUGGAAUUCUCUCAUCCUGGGCUACGCGGAGAACGGUGACGGUGAACAGGCCUUGCAAGCCUUCCGGCGGAUGAAAGCCAACAAACGUCUCGUGCCGGACACUCGAACUUACGCUGCAGUGCUGAUGGCCUGUGGCAGCAUGGCGUCGCUUGAAACCGCGAGAGACGUCCAUAGCGAGAUUCGUGGUCUCGGGCUCGACCAAGAUGGAUUCAUCGCCAACUGCUUGGUGGACUGCUACUGCAACUGUGGGAGCUUGGAAGAGGCAAAACAGGUUUUUGACGCGCUGGGCAGCAAGAACGUUGUCUCCUGGAGCUCGCUCAUAGCAGGAUACAGCCGCCACGGCCACGUAAAACAGGCUCUCGACUUGUUCCAGAAGAUGCAAGACGGUGGCUUCCAGGCGGACAAGAUGACCUUCACGUCCAUCCUCACGGCUUGCAGCCACGCCGGACUGGUGGAAAAAGGGAAGGAGCUGUUCGAGCUUAUGGCCUCCAAGCACGGCGUGGAGCCGGACAUGGACCACUACCACUACAUGAUCGAUCUUCUAGGCCGCGCAAACCAUCUGGAGGAGGCAGUGGCGAUGGCGGAGGGGAUGCCGUUUGAUCCAAAUGCCGUGACUUGGAAGACGGUGCUGGGGGCGUGCCAGAAGUGGAACAACGUCCGGAUCGCGAGGGUGGCGUUUGAGAGGCUGCGGCAAGUCGACGGGGAGCAAGCGGCGCCGUACGUUCUCAUGGCAAACAUCUUUGGAAGCUCGAUCUCGUCCAGCGACAAGUCUUGCUCCCACUGCUCGACGAGGAAGACUUAAGGUACCAGUUGCUUUAUUUUCCUGAAGUUUAAUUUGAUUUUUUGAUGCAAGAGUAACAAAUCAAGUUGUCUUCGUCGGAACAGCAGUUCUCUAUAAUAUGGCGAUGGCCUGUGGAUCCAGAGCAUCAAAUCGAUGGACUUGGGUGUGGCCUUGUUCCUCCUUAGCGUCGGCUUGACCACACUGUCACUUCUCAUCGGGAGAAUUCUAUCUUCGCAGCGGCGGCUCCCUCCAGGUCCCUUCUCUUUCCCCAUUUUUGGAGCACUCUUCUCCCUCCAGGAGCCACUCCACCAGCACUUUGCGAAGAUCAGCAAGAAGUAUGGGCCGAUUGUCUUCCUCAAGAUCGGAAUGGUCCCGUUUGUGGUGGUGACCGACAAGGAAAUGGCAGCGCAGAUUCUUAAGGCCCACGACCUCGAGUUUUCAAGCCGGCCGGACGAAGAGUUCUUUCGGAUCGUCAGCCACGACUGGAACGAUCUUAUCCUGGCGCCCAUCGGUGAUAAGU